ACCAAAUGAAACAGAAGGGGUCUCAUGCAUACCAACAAUACCUUUCCUAAAAAAUUCUGAGUUUUGUACCACUGACUGAAAUGGAAUCUUUGAGGUUAGGGGUAGAUGGCAUAAUGGUUAUGCAAACAGACCUUCAUGCCUGAGACUACAAAGUCCCAGGUUUAGUCCCCGACAUCACCAUAAGCCAGGGCUGAGCAGUGCUCUGGUUAAAAAAAAAAAUUUUUUUUUUUAAAUCUUUGGUUUGGGUUUCUUUUUCUUUUUCUUUCCUUUUUUAUAUUUAUUUAUUCCCUUUUGUUGUCCUUGUUGUUUUUUAUUGUAGUUAUUAUUGAUGUCGUUGUUGGAUAGGACAGAGAGAAAUGGAGAGAGGAGGGAAAGACAGAGAUGGGGAGAGAAAGACAGACACCUGCAGACCUGCUUUACCACCUGUGAAACUACUCCCCUGCAGGUGGGGAUCUGAGGGCUUGAAUCUGGAUCCUUCUGCCCGUCCUUGCGCUUUGCGCCACCUGCGCUUAACCUGCUGCGCUACUGCCCAACUCCCAGGUUACUUUUUCUUAUAAAGACUCCUAGUAUGCAAUAUUAUAAGACAAGAUAUACACCUAGAUUCACUCCUUCAGUGAAUCAUUUCUUAGGGAGAAGCUUACUGAUCCAAAGAAAACUUCUUUUAGAACAAAAAGUACCUUAUCUGCUAUAGGUAUCAGCUAAAUAGGCCUACAUAAAUUAGGAAGAUUAAGCAUGUAAGCCAUGACAGCCUUUUCGACUGCCAUAAGCUCCUGUGAUGAUUAGUAAUACCCUAGUAACUGACUGACUGAUUACUGAGAAAAAUAUCCUAUUUUUUCAUAAUCAUACUUUUAAGAUCUUAGAUACUAAAGAAACACACACACACAUACACAAAGAUAUUAGAUAAUUUUAAUUUCACUGGACAGGGGACUCGGGCGGUAGCACAGCAGGUUAAGCGCACAUGACACGAAGAUCAAGGACCAGAGUAACGAUCCCGGUGUGAGCCUGGCUCCCCUCCUGCAGGGGAGUCGCUUCACAGGCGGUGAAGCAGGUCUUCAGUUGUCUGUCUUUCCCCCUGUCUGUCUUCCCCUCCUCUCUCCAUUUCUCUCUGUCCUAUCCAACAACGAUGACAUCAAUAACAACAACAGUAAUAACUACAACAGCAAUAAAAAAGGGCAACAAUAGGGAAAAUAAAUAUAUAUAAAUUUUUUUUAAAAAUUAAAAAAUGUCACUGGACUGACGGAAGUGGGGGAUGGGUCAAAGUAGUACUCUGGCAUUGAAGCACCUGAGAUUAACCUCAGGACCUCACACUUUCAAGUCCAGAGUUCCACCAUUGGGCCAUCUCCUUGGCUAUGCCACAGAUGGUAUUUUCAUGGAAGUGUAAGCUUAAUACGUUGUUUGUUACAUGAAGGAAUGAUGAGAGAUAGAGAGUUUAAAUAUUCAUAGUUCUUUUUACAAAUACUAUUUAUUUAUUAUUCAGUAGAGACAGAAAUUGAAAGGGGAGAGGGAGAUAGAAAUGGAGAGAGACAGAGAGACACCUACAGCCCUGCUUCACCACUCAUGAAGCUUCCUUGCUGAGGGUGGGGACCAGGUGCUUGGAUCUGGGUCCUUAUGCACUGUAAUGUGAGCACUUAGCCAGGUGAGCCACUGCCUGGCCUCAGUGUUCAUAGAUCUCCUUUCAGAUAUCUAGCAUAUUUGAUAGGGCUUUGGUUUUGGUAAGCAGUUUAGGGCUGCUUGUAUUUUGUUGUUUUAUCCUUUAUUAUUUUUCCAUUACAAUCUAGCUUCACCUAUCAAUAGAUUUUUUUCUUCAUUUUUUAAUAGUGGCUUAACAGUAUUUACCUAGGUUUCAUACAUUUUCAUCCUUUUUAUUUCAUAGGUUCUAUAAUUUGCCUGUUACAUUAUCUCAUUAUGUUACUAGGGAAAUUACCUAUAAACCUAUCUAAACUGAAAUAAAGCUACAUAGAACCACAAUUUAUUUUUUCUUUUGUUCUCCCACAAUUUCCUUUUAAGUUUUGUCUUACAUGAAGAAGCAAAGACUAGUAUCUCCUAGGGGCCAGGUGUGGUGCACCUGGUUGAGCACACAAGGACCCAGUGCACAAGGACCCAGGUUCCGCAUCUACAGGGGAAAAAUUUCACAAGUGGUGAAGCAGGACUGUAGGUGUCUUUCUUUUUUUGCCUCCAGGAUUAUUGCUGGGGCUCAGUGCACAAAUCCACUACUCCUGGAGGCUUUUAUUUAUUUUCCCUUUGUUGCCCUUGUUUUUUAUUGUUGUUGUUAUUGAUGUCACCGUUGUUAGAUAGGACAGAGAGAAAUGGAGAGAGGAGGGGAUGACAGGGGAAGAGAAAGAUACCUGUAGACCUGCUUCCCCCCCCCCCCCCACAGGUUGGGGAGCCAGGGGCCCUAACCCAAAUCCUUACUCCAGUCCUUGUGCUUUGAGCCAUGUGCACUUAACCUGCUGUACUACCGCCUGACACUCUCUGUAGGCUAUUUUUCCCCCUUAUGUUGCCCUUGUUUUUUGUGGUGGUAGUGGUGGUGGUUAUUAUAUUGUUGUUGUUGUUAUUGAUGUCAUUGUUGGCUAGGACAGAGAGAAAUGGAGAGAGGACUGAAAGACAGAAAGGAGAGAAAGAUAGACACUUGCAGACCUGCAUCACCGCCUGUGAAGCGAACCCCCUGCAGGUGGGGAUCCAGGGGCUCGAACCGGGAUUCUUAUACCAGUCCUUGCACUUGGUGCCAUGUGCACUUAACCCGCUGUGCUACUGCCCAGCUCCCUGUAGUUGUCUUUCUGUCUCCCUCCCUCUAUCUCCCACUCCCCUAUUCAUUUCUGGCUGUCUCUAUCCAAUAAAUAAAGAUAAUUUUAAAAAAUAGAGGGAGUCGGGCAGUAGCGCACCGGGUUAAGCACACAUGGCGCAAAGUGCAAAGACCAGCUUAAGGAUCCCGGCUCAAGCCCCCGGCUUCCCACCUAUACAGGAGUCGCUUCACAGGCGGUAAAGCAGGUCUGCAGGUGUCUAUCUUUCUGUCCUCCUCUCUGUCUUCCCCUCCUCUCUCCAUUUCUCUAUCUUAUCCAAUAACAGCGACAUCAAUAACAACAAUAAUAAUAACUACAGCAAUAAAAAAAAGAAAAGAGCAACAAAAGGGGGUAAAUAAAUAUUUUUAAAAAAAAUAGUAUCGUGGUCUGGGAGUGGCACAGUGGAUAAAGCAUUGGAUUCUCAACCAUGGGGUCCUGAGUUCGAUCCCUGGCAGAACAUGUACCAGAGUGAUGUCUGGUUCUUUCUCUCCUCCUAUCUUUCUCAUGAAUGAAUAAAUAAAUUCUAAAUAUAUAUAUAUAGUAUUUCUUAUAUCAUCCCUGGUUAUCUCAGUUUAGUAGGCUAGAUGUUUUGUUUGUUUAUUUAUUUUUGUUUUUGCAUUGCUGAGACCUCUUGAAAGCAUGGUCUUACACCUUUGGUUGACUUUUUUUUUUUUUUAAUUUAUUUUUUCCCUUUUGUUGCCCUUGUUUUAUUGUUGUAGUUAUUAUUGUUGUUGUUGUUGUUGGAUAGGACAGAGAGAAAUGGAGAGAGGAGGGGAAGACAGAGAGGGGGAGAGAAAGAUAGACACCUGCAGACCUGCUUCACCGCCUGUGAAGCGACUCCCCUGCAGGUGGGGAGCCGGGGUUCGAACCGGGAUCCUUAUGCCGGUCCUUGUGCUUUGCGCCACCUGCGCUUAGCCCGCUGCACUACAGCCCAACUCCC